UACGAAGGGGGCUAGCGUUGCUCGGAAUCACUGGGCGUAAAGCGCGUGUAGGCGGCUUUGCAAGUCGGGUGUGAAAGCCCUCGGCUCAACCGAGGAAGUGCGCCCGAAACUGCAGAGCUUGAGUACCGGAGAGGGUGGCGGAAUUCCCCAAGUAGAGGUGAAAUUCGUAGAUAUGGGGAGGAACACCGGUGGCGAAGGCGGCCUCCUGGACGGAUACUGACGCUGAGACGCGAAAGCGUGGGGAGCAAACAGG
rnacentral:rRNA from 1 species